AUUUUUUUCCUAUAGAAAAAAGUUCAUCCCGGGGAUGAAUUUUUUUCCUAUAGAAAAAACGUUCAUCCCGGGGAUGAAUUUUUUUCCUAUAGAAAAAAC
rnacentral:pre_miRNA from 1 species